rnacentral:lncRNA from 1 species
UCCCACCACAGCCUCCCCUGAGACCCUCUUCACGCUGGUUGCAGGAGUAGCCAACCCCGCUCCCUGGCAGCCCGUGAGAUGCCACAUCCCCUCCAGCAGGGGGCGGCCGGCAUCGGUCCCGUCUUCCUAAACCGGCGUUGGUGGGAAAUGCCGGCACCAGCUCCCUCCCCGCUCCAGAGCCCUGUUUUCCCCAUUUGUAUUUCACUACUUUCCUGUUGAGCUUGGAUUCCAGCCUCAAAUUCCGCGAUUUGGCCGGCAUCCUAAUCCCCGAGUGACUCUUGCCAACCACUCUCUGUGGGGCCUGUGUGCUUCCUCCUGGGUUCUGGGGCGCUGGCGGCGUCCGCUUCACCGGGAACGGGAGCCCCAGCCUCCCGAGGCCUUCCUGCCUGGCUCUGGGAAUGGCCACUGUCCAGAAAGCCCCGCGGCCGUCCAUGCUCGCUCGCUCAGUCAGGCCCUUGUGGGGAUAUUGCAGAACGAGUCCGAGUUACUAUCCCUUUAAAUACAGGCGUUUCGGCCUAGCUGCCGCCGGUCCAAUCCGCAGCGCUUCCGUGCCCCACUUUCCCGCGUCAGCCUGGCUCCGGCCUCCACCAGGGGGUGCUAGUGAGAUCCCAGCCAGCCUCAGAGCUGAGCGUCCAGGGCCUUCAAAUGUCCCCAUCCUUGAAAAGGCAACUCCAGUGGCAUCUUCUGCGGGGAGACCAGAAGCAGCAUCUGACGAGGAGACAGCACUGGCGGUCCCGACACAACUGAAUCGGCAGGAUGAGGGCCCUUAGUGUUAGGCACCGGCGGAGCUGCAUCCCACCCCGUCUCGUCCCCUGAGAACAGCUGUGAGAAGCCGCCUAUUUUUCAUCGUUCUGCAACACACCUUUCCCUUCCUUGGGAUAUUUCUCCUCUUUCAGCAUUGCCGCAUCAGGGUUCCAAAGCCCCGUUUCUCUCCUAGUUCUUUCUUUGCUCAAGAAAAGCAGCUUGUCUGAUAAACUAAGCUAUGUAUGAUUCGCUGCCAGUACAGACUGAAAAACAAAAUAAACUCCCAAUUCACAGUCCUCCGUUGCGUAACAGUGAGCAGACGUUCUGAGAAAUGCAUCGUCAGGCAAUUGCAUCAUUGUGCAAACAAUAUAGAGUGUACUUACCCAAACCUAAACAGCACAGCCUACUACACACCCAGGCUGUAGGCUGUGCUUCUAGACUACAAACCUGUACAGUGUGGUACUGAACACUGUAGGCAACUGUAACACAAUGGUGUACCUAAUUCCUCUGCCUAGAAAGUGUGCUGGAAUUACUGCCUGGCUUCUGAUGAAUAGGGCGUAUUGAGAGUGAUGCUUUGUGAGUUCUGAGGCUAGGUCAUAGAAAGGAUUGAACUUAUUCCUGAAUGUUGCUCUUGGAUCACUUGCUUUUUUGGGAACCACCAGCCAUGUCAUGAGGACACUCAAGCAACCCUGCAGAGAAGCACAUGUGUGGAGAGGCACUUCUUGGAAAGGAGGCCAACUUGCCAGAACCAACUAAUUUGUCAUAAUCAACCAAAAAGAAAUAGCA